UACGAAGGGGGCUAGCGUUGCUCGGAAUCACUGGGCGUAAAGCGCACGUAGGCGGCUUUUUAAGUCAGAGGUGAAAUCCUGGAGCUCAACUCCAGAACUGCCUUUGAUACUGGAGAGCUUGAGUCCGGGAGAGGUGAGUGGAACUGCGAGUGUAGAGGUGAAAUUCGUAGAUAUUCGCAAGAACACCAGUGGCGAAGGCGACUCACUGGCCCGGUACUGACGCUGAGGUGCGAAAGCGUGGGGAGCAAACAGG
rnacentral:rRNA from 1 species